rnacentral:rRNA from 1 species
CCUACGGGAGGCAGCAGUGAGGAAUAUUGGUCAAUGGACGCAAGCCUGAACCAGCCAUGCCGCGUGCAGGCAGACGGCCCUAUGAGUUGUAACCUGCUUUUGUCCGGGGGUAAAUCGCCAUACGUGUAUCGGGUUGAAAGUAUCGUACGAAUAAGGACCGGCUAAUGCCGUGCCAGCAGCCGCGGUAAUACGGAGGAUCCAAGCGUUAUCCGGAUUUAUUGGGUUUAAAGGGUGCGGAGGCGGUCCGAAAAGUUAGCGGUGAAAUCCCGGGGCUCAACCCCGGCCCUGCCUCUGAUACUGGCGGGCUAGAGUUCAGUUGCGGUAGGAGGAAUGUGUGGUGUAGCGGUGAAAUGCAUAGAGAUCACACAGAACACCGAUUGCGAAGGCAGCUGACGAAACGAAGACUGACGUUGAGGCACGAAAGCGUGGGUAGCGAACAGGAUUAGAUACCCGUGUAGUC